GACGAACGCUGGCGGCGUGCUUAACACAUGCAAGUCGAACGGACAGACAGAGAGCUUGCUCUCUUGAAGUCAGUGGCGAACGGGUGAGUAACGCGUAAUCAACCUGCCCUUCAGAGGGGGAUAACAACGGGAAACCGUUGCUAAUACCGCGUACGAUUCAUGAACGGCAUCGUUUAUGAAUGAAAGGUGGCCUCUAUGUAUAAGCUAUCGCUGAAGGAGGGGAUUGCGUCUGAUUAGCUAGUUGGAGGGGUAACGGCCCACCAAGGCAAUGAUCAGUAUCCGGUCUGAGAGGAUGAACGGCCACAUUGGGACUGAGACUCGGCCCAAACUCCUACGGGAGGCAGCAGUGGGGAACCUUCCGCAAUGGACGAAAGUCUGACGGAGCAACGCCGCGUGAGUGAUGAAGGUCUUCGGAUUGUAAAGCUCUGUUAAUCGGGACGAAAGAGUUCUGCGUGAAUAAUGCAGAAAAGUGACGGUACCGGAAUAGAAAGCCACGGCUAACUACGUGCCAGCCGCCGCAGUAA
rnacentral:rRNA from 1 species